rnacentral:tRNA from 1 species
ACCUGGGUGGCUCAGUUGGUUAAGCGUCUGACUUCUGCUCAGGUCAUGAUCUUGAGGUUUGUGGGUUCGAGCCCUGCAUCAGGCU